GUAUACGCCCUUCGGGGGAAAGAAUUUCGGUGAGGGAUCGGCCCGCGUUAGAUUAGUUAGUUGGUGGGGUAAUGGCCUACCAAGACUACGAUCUAUAGCUGGUUUGAGAGGAUGAUCAGCAACACUGGGACUGAGACACGGCCCAGACUCCUACGGGAGGCAGCAGUGGGGAAUCUUAGACAAUGGGGGCAACCCUGAUCUAGCGAUGCCGCGUGAGUGAUGAAGGCCUUAGGGUCGUAAAGCUCUUUCGCCUGUGAUGAUAAUGACAGUAGCAGGUAAAGAAACCCCGGCUAACUCCGUGCCAGCAGCCGCGGUAAUACGGAGGGGGUUAGCGUUGUUCGGAAUUACUGGGCGUAAAGCGCACGUAGGCGGAUUAGUCAGUCAGAGGUGAAAUCCCAGGGCUCAACCCUGGAACUGCCUUUGAUACUGCUAGUCUUGAGUUCGAGAGAGGUAAGUGGAAUUCCGAGUGUAGAGGUGAAAUUCGUAGAUAUUCGGAGGAACACCAGUGGCGAAGGCGGCUUACUGGCUCGAUACUGACGCUGAGGUGCGAAAGUGUGGGGAGCAAACAGGAUUAGAUACCCUGGUAGUCCACACCGUAAACGAUGAAUGCCAGUCGUCGGGUAGCAUGCUAUUCGGUGACACACCUAACG
rnacentral:rRNA from 1 species